UACGAAGGGGGCUAGCGUUGCUCGGAAUCACUGGGCGUAAAGGGUGCGUAGGCGGGUCUUUAAGUCAGGGGUGAAAUCCUGGAGCUCAACUCCAGAACUGCCUUUGAUACUGAAGAUCUUGAGUUCGGGAGAGGUGAGUGGAACUGCGAGUGUAGAGGUGAAAUUCGUAGAUAUUCGCAAGAACACCAGUGGCGAAGGCGGCUCACUGGCCCGAUACUGACGCUGAUGCACGAAAGCGUGGGGAGCAAAC
rnacentral:rRNA from 1 species